CUUUUAUUUUGUAAAGAAUGACUUUGAAACAGGAAGAAGUGCUGUCAGUUCGAUUUUUUGCAGGACAGUUUUAAGAGUUAUUUAAAGAUCCUGGUGGGUCUUUUUGGUGCUGUAGAAAAUGUCCAGUGUGAUUCCUCGUAUCGAGCAGCUGUCGUCGAGAGUGGUGCGGGUUCUGGGCUGUAACCCGGGACCCAUGACACUGCAGGGCACCAACACAUACCUGGUCGGAACUGGCAGAAGGCGAGUGUUAAUUGACGCAGGUGAGCCCGCGGUACCGGAGUAUAUUACCAAUCUGCGCGAGGCUCUGAAGCAGCACGAGGCGUCCAUACAGCACAUCCUUAUCACACACUGGCACCAUGACCACACUGGAGGAGUACAGGAUAUACUGACACAUUUUCCCACAGAUGCAGAGCUGAAGGUCAGUAAACUCCCUCGGUCUCCUCCACAAGAAGAAGAAAUCGGAGACAAGAAGAGGAAAUUUUCAUAUCUUAGUGAUGGUGAAGUGAUAAAGACAGAGGGGGCAACACUACGGGUGUUAUUUACUCCCGGUCACACAGAUGACCACAUGGCAUUAUUGCUGGAGGAGGAGCAGGCUGUGUUUUCGGGUGACUGUAUUCUGGGAGAGGGCACGGCUGUGUUUGAGGACCUCCAUGAUUACAUGAAGUCACUGCAGAUUCUGCUGAGCAUGAAGGCUGACCUCAUAUAUCCAGGUCAUGGCCCAGUUGUGCAGGAUGCAGGAUCAAAAAUCUGUGAGUACAUAACGCACCGGAAUGCCAGAGAACAGCAGAUCUUAAAGGUUCUACAGGAGAACAGUGGAACCACGUUUACCUCAAGACAACUAGUAAAAGUGGUGUACAAGGUCUGGCCCUUUUCUGAUUUAUCUCAGUUCAGUCUAAUCAUGCUUGGCUGUUUAAUUAAAUUCAACCCAGUUUAUGAAGAGCUUUUUUGAAGUUGUUUUUGGUCAAGACAACACUAACAUUUAAGUUAGUCUGGGACUGUCUGGGAAACCGCACCAAAAUCUUUAAUGAAAAAUUAAAGGCGCAAAUGUAGGAUUUCACCACUAGAGGUCGCAUUUUUAAAACAGUAACAAAGGUGAAGCUUAAUGACGUUAUGAAGGAAAUUGGAACGAUGGGAGAUGUUGUUUUCACCAUCUAGAGACGUAUGGAAUUCGCUAAUCACGUUCACGACGAAUGAGGUAAUGAAUUCAUGUUUUUCUACAUCUAUGUUUGAUCACAUUCAUCGGCAUGAAUUAGCUGCAAGUCACAACAGCUGCGUUUAAGAUGCUGUAUAACCGCCACUUCCGCAUUUGUCCACUCUUGUUGCCAUAGUUUCAACAAGCAGAAACCGAAGAGAGUGCAGAUAUUACCUCAUUGAUAGGCAAUGACAAGGGAUGAUUCAAAAUGGGAGUUUCUCUGGAUUUACAAGUCCUUGAGAACGUUUAGGAUAAUGAGACUCCUGAGCAUCUUCACAGAGCCGCAGAGGUUAACUUGGUGCACCAUUUAAAGAAACUACACAAAGAAGGAAAGAUUUGCCUGGCUGAAGGUUCGAAGGAAAAGAAGUGGAAAA